GGCUCAGUAGUUCAAUUGGAUAGAACACCAGACUUCGGAUCUGGUUGUUGGGGGUUCGAGUCCUCCCUGAGUCA
rnacentral:tRNA from 1 species